UGGCGGCGUGCCUAAUACAUGCAAGUCGAACGCUUCUUUCCUCCCGAGUGCUUGCACUCAAUUGGAAAGAGGAGUGGCGGACGGGUGAGUAACACGUGGGUAACCUACCCAUCAGAGGGGGAUAACACUUGGAAACAGGUGCUAAUACCGCAUAACAGUUUAUGCCGCAUGGCAUAAGAGUGAAAGGCGCUUUCGGGUGUCGCUGAUGGAUGGACCCGCGGUGCAUUAGCUAGUUGGUGAGGUAACGGCUCACCAAGGCCACGAUGCAUAGCCGACCUGAGAGGGUGAUC
rnacentral:rRNA from 1 species